rnacentral:rRNA from 1 species
UACGAAGGGAGCUAGCGUUACUCGGAAUCACUGGGCGUAAAGCGCAUGUAGGCGGAAAUACAAGUCAGAGGUGAAAGCCCUGGGCUCAACCCAGGAAUUGCCUUUGAAACUGUAUUUCUUGAGUAUGACAGAGGAUGGUGGAAUUUCCAGUGUAGAGGUGAAAUUCGUAGAUAUUGGAAAGAACACCGGUGGCGAAGGCGACCAUCUGGGUCAUAACUGACGCUGAGAUGCGAAAGCGUGGGGAGCGAACGGG